UGCAGGCUGCAACUCGCCUGCAUGAAGCUGGAAUUGCUAGUAAUCGCGGAUCAGCAAGCCGCGGUGAAUACGUUCCCGGGCCUUGUACACACCGCCCGUCACACCAUGCGAGUCGGGAACACCCGAAGUCCGUAGUCUAACCGCAAGGGGGGCGCGGCCGAAGGUGGGUCCGGUAACUGGGGUGAAGUCGUAACAAGGUAAC
rnacentral:rRNA from 1 species